rnacentral:rRNA from 1 species
CAGCACCUCAAGUGGUCAGGAUGAUUAUUGGGCCUAAAGCAUCCGUAGCCGGCUCUGUAAGUUCUCGGUUAAAUCUGUACGCUCAACGUACAGGCUGCCGGGAAUACUGCAGAGCUAGGGAGUGGGAGAGGUAGGCGGUACUCGGUAGGAAGGGGUAAAAUCCUUUGAUCCAUUGAUGACCACCUGUGGCGAAGGCGGUCUACCAGAACACGUCCGACGGUGAGGGAUGAAAGCUGGGGGAGCAAACCGGAUUAGAUACCCGCGUAGUCC